rnacentral:misc_RNA from 1 species
UCUCCGUUGGUGAACCAGCGGAGGGAUCAUUACAGGAACUCGCAAGACUCCUAACCCACUGUGAACCUACCCGACGUUGCCUCGGCGGGCGCCCGGCCUCGCGCCGGGCACCAAGCCCGCCGGCGGCCCCUACUCUGUCUCUGCAGCGUUGUGUCUCCGAGUAUACCAAAACAAGUCAAAACUUUCAACAACGGAUCUCUUGGCUCUA